AGUGAACGCUGGCGGUAGGCCUAACACAUGCAAGUCGAACGGCAGCACAGUAAGAGCUUGCUCUUACGGGUGGCGAGUGGCGGACGGGUGAGGAAUACAUCGGAAUCUACUUUUUCGUGGGGGAUAACGUAGGUAAACUUACGCUAAUACCGCAUACGACCUACGGGUGAAAGCAGUGGAUCUUCGGACCUUGCGCGAAUGAAUGAGCCGAUUUGGGAUUAGCUAGUUGGCGGGGUAAAUGCCCACCCAGGGGCCGGUCGGUAGCCGGUCUGAGUGGAUGGUCAGCCACACAGAAACUGAGACGCGGUCCAGACUCCGACGGGAGGCAGCAGUGGGGAAUAUAGGAAAAUGGGCGGAAGCCUGAACCAGCCAUGGCGCGUGGGUGAAGAAGGCCUGCGUGUUGUAAAGCCCUUUUGUUGGGAAAGAAAGGCAGCAGGUUAAUACCCCGCUGUGCUGACGGUACCCAAAGAAUAAGCACCGGCAAACUUCGU
rnacentral:rRNA from 1 species